GGAACCAUGCCUGGUGGGUGGUUACUACUGAACAAUCACAGGCCUCAAGACUGGCAUGGACCUUCGUAACGGAAAAAUCCAAAAAACCCGAGAAACAGAAAAGUCAGAGCUGGGGACCGAACCUAGGGCCUUGCGCUUGCUAGGCAAGCCAAAUAUUUUUUAAUACACAUGAAAAUAAUAAAACUGAAGGUUGGGU
rnacentral:lncRNA from 14 species